rnacentral:rRNA from 1 species
UGGUUAAAAAGCUCGUAGUUGGAUCUCAACAGCCUUGAAGCGGUUAACUUUGUAGUUUUACUGCUUUAUAGGCUGUGCUUUUGCUGGAGGUUUAGGGGUGCUCUUGAUCGAGUGUCUCUGGAUGCCAGCAGGUUUACUUUGAAAAAAUUAGAGUGCUCAAAGCAGGCUAAAAUGCCUGAAUAUUCGUGCAUGGAAUAAUAGAAUAGGAUGUCGAUCCUAUUUUGUUGGUUUUCGGGACUCGACAUAAUGAUAAAUAGGGACAGUCGGGGGCAUUUGUAUUCAAACGACAGAGGUGAAAUUCUUGGACCGUUUGAAGACAAACUACUGCGAAAGCAUUUGCCAAGAAUGUUUUCAUUAAUCAAGAACGAAAGUUAGAGGUUCGAAGGCGAUUA